rnacentral:rRNA from 1 species
ACAGGAUUAGAUACCCUGGUAGUCCAUGCCGUAAACGUUGGGCACUAGGUGUGGGGAACAUUCCACGUUUUCCGCGCCGUAGCUAACGCAUUAAGUGCCCCGCCUGGGGAGUACGGCCGCAAGGCUAAAACUCAAAGGAAUUGACGGGGGCCCGCACAAGCGGCGGAGCAUGCGGAUUAAUUCGAUGCAACGCGAAGAACCUUACCAAGGCUUGACAUACACCGGACCGGGCCAGAGAUGGUCUUUCCCCCUUGUGGGGCUGGUGUACAGGUGGUGCAUGGUUGUCGUCAGCUCGUGUCGUGAGAUGUUGGGUUAAGUCCCGCAACGAGCGCAACCCUCGUUCUAUGUUGCCAGCACGUGAUGGUGGGGACUCAUAGGAGACUGCCGGGGUCAACUCGGAGGAAGGUGGGGAUGACGUCAAAUCAUCAUGCCCCUUAUGUCUUGGGCUUCACGCAUGCUACAAUGGCCAGUACAAUGGGUUGCGAUGCCGCGAGGUGGAGCUAAUCCCAAAAAGCUGGUCUCAGUUCGGAUCGUGGUCUGCAACUCGACCACGUGAAGUCGGAGUCGCUAGUAAUCGCAGAUCAGCAACGCUGCGGUGAAUACGUUCCCGGGCCUUGUACACACCGCCCGUCAAGUCACGAAAGUUGGUAACACCCGAAGCCGGUGGCCUAACCCUUGUGGGGGGAGCCGUCGAAGGUGGGACUGGCGAUUGGGACUAAGUCGUAACAAGGUA